rnacentral:rRNA from 1 species
CGGGGGGGGCAAGCGUUGUUCGGAAUUACUGGGCGUAAAGGGCGCGUAGGCGGCCUUCUAAGUCGGACGUGAAAUCCCCCGGCUCAACCGGGGAACUGCGUCCGAUACUGGAGGGCUUGAAUCCGGGAGAGGGAUGUGGAAUUCCAGGUGUAGCGGUGAAAUGCGUAGAUAUCUGGAGGAACACCGGUGGCGAAGGCGGCAUCCUGGACCGGUAUUGACGCUGAGGCGCGAAAGCCAGGGGAGCAAACGGGAUUAGAUACCCCGGUAGUCCUGGCCCUAAACGAUGAGUGCUUGGUGUGGCGGGUAUCGAUCCCUGCCGUGCCGAAGCUAACGCAUUAAGCACUCCGCCUGGGGAGUACGGUCGCAAGGCUG